UACGUAGGGGGCAAGCGUUGUCCGGAAUCAUUGGGCGUAAAGAGCGUGUAGGCGGCCCGAUAAGUCCGCUGUGAAAGUCCAGGGCUCAACCCUGGAAUGCCGGUGGAUACUGUCGGGCUCGAAUCCGGAAGAGGUGAGUGGAAUUCCUGGUGUAGCGGUGAAAUGCGCAGAUAUCAGGAGGAACACCAAGUGGCGAAGGCAGGCUCACUGGGACGGUAUUGACGCUGGAGACGACGAAAGCGUGGGGGAGCAAACAGG
rnacentral:rRNA from 1 species